AGUAUCCCCAUCUCUGCUUGUGCUUCAACUACACGGUAUAGGUACAAAUGAACCGAGAGUGAUAAGCUGGCUAGAACGCGAUUUAGUCCGUUGUAAGCGUUGAUAUAUUGCCAAUUUGAAAAGGUGUGUACCUACUUAUAUUACCUGGAGCUUCAAACGAAAUUGAUAGUGCGAAAAUAGUUUCCUUGUUUUUGUUGAAUUCCUACAUUAUACUAGACAGAAGGCACUGAUGAUCAGUUAGAUAUGAAUUGGCAGAAAUAUAUUACUGGUGGACUUGGCGUGAAAACUGAUCUUAUGAGAAUUCAACCAGUUCAAUAUCUGGUUUUGUUAUUUCUUCAACAAAUCAAAAUAAUGAACAGAAAACUGGCGUGCUACUGGAAAACUGCUGAAAACAUCAAACAAAACAUUUUACUCGUAGGAAUGAACAUCUGCUUUGCUUUCAUAAUUUUCUACAUGAUAAUACGACAUUUUCUGAUGUACAUCAAUUUAGACAUGAAAAACUAUAAGUGCCUUCCUUAUUUAAUAACGUAAAAAGUUUUAUUACUUUUUUUCAAUCAAGAGACUGAUAUUUAUAUUAUUUAUUACAUAUGUACCUAAUAAAUCAUGAUAAAAAAU